CUUUUCCGUCUUCGUCCUAGUUUCGUCAUCAAAAUGAGGUCUUCGCUCGUAGCUAAUUGAGAGAUUAAUAGGUUCAUAAUGGAGCACUCAUAAAUGUGUCAACCGGAACGAAAUUGAGCACCAAAACGUAUUUUUUUCUAAAUUCAGCGUCAUUCACUUCAGUACGCAAGAACUAUUCCAGUUGAAAUGAGAAAAUGGACGUGAAACAAGAUGACGAGGAGCUAAAUGAGUGCUUCAAAUCUAAAAGCUAUCUCGACUCUGAAGGACAAUAUUGAAAGUGAUUCGACUAAAAUAGUCAUAUUGUGGAAUAUCACGAAUUAUCACAAAUCAGGGGACGAACAUUCACGCUACUUUCAAAUGCCAUUUCUCAUCCUCCAUACUAUAAAGCAGUUGUACUUGUCGACCUACAAAAUGCCCAAGUGAACAUUUCUCUCGGCUUCGCCCCUUCAGACCUUACCACCCACCAUGGUGGCUAAACCACAAUCAAAUUAUUCCGAUUGAGUCGAAACAUGCCAAAAGUUUUCAUGGCUUAUGCUUUACCGCAUAAAAAUGGUCGAUCGCGCAACAAGCGGUUCAAAGUUUUCCAUGGCGGCCGAAAUCACAGACGUUGGUUGCAAUUUGUUCUGUGCGAAAACGUCUUUGAACGACGCCGAUUUCUCCGCGCACCGUCCAGAAUUCUACGUACUACAAUAGCUGGAAGGCCACCAUCAAAUAUUGAAUCAAGAGCACCGAGAGAUGAUUACGGAGGAGAAAACAACCAUUUCAAUUGUCAGAAGAGACACCUCAAGCAAUGAGAAUCCAUUGGCUCGAAAUUUAAUAGAUAUUGAAAGCCAUAACGCGUGCUAAGCGUUCAUCUAUUAUCUCUACUUUCUACCUCAGAGCUCUAUCUCGAUUUCCUUCCACCAAACCAGCCACACACACAUCGAACCAUUAGUCACAAAGUUUCAAAAAUAUCUCAUAUUCAUCGUACUGACAAGUGAACAAUAAGCCUGUUGUUCAUUGACACCUUAGAUCUGAGAAAACCAAACAGCCACUUGGCAAUUCCCUCCUAUUCAUUCAAGGACAAGUGUGUAGCUACAGUUGAAUCGAGUCAAUAAUCCAGUCGGCACCUCUUCAGUGGGCUCAUCAUAAAAGACUUUUCUCACAAAUGGCAAUUGCGAGCGACAAUCCAUCCAGACCGACAACCAAGCUAUGUACGAGUACUGGAUUGGCGUCCGUUCCACCUUUCUUGCGUAUUAUACGAGUCAAUCGUACCUCCAUACGUACAUACAUAGGUACAUACGUACGUAGACACCCAUGCUCCACGCUCUCUACGAUGAAUUCCCUCUCGCCCGACAGGAUCGGAAGCACGAGUAAUGAUUGCUCAUGGAGACGUCCAACCAUCCAUUUCGUGCAUGCACUUUGGGCCGUCGUACAUUCAACUUUGGGAGUCUCCCCAGCUUACUCCUCGGUACCAAAGAACAUUGCAUGCACUGAGCUAAUAGGAAAGCGACCCCGUAGGCCAAAAACGACGAAGACUUCAACGACGACGACGAUCAUGACGAAGAAGAAGAAGACAUCCUUCUCCAAAUCCACUGGAGUCUCAAUCACUCUUGGAGAAGCCGACUUGCUCGCCGUCGGUCGACGACGGGGGCAUGAGGAGUCGGAAUGAUGUACCGUGGGUAACAAUGCUCGGAGUUGUACGACGAAAAGCGAGUCACCGACCGACUGGCUUGAAGAAGGUUUCCCCGCUUGUGGUGGUGCCAGCAGCAACUUUCGGACUCGCCAAUUGUCUUGGACUUGAUCUAUUUGAGGCCCUCUGGUAUUGUUCCUAGUGCUAGGCCCAAGUGAACACAGAAAGAAGGCUCCCAGCAACUUUUUCGGACAAAAAUUGUGUCUUCUUCAUUGUCCGUUUUGACUCAAUGGUUAAGCAACCCGGAAAAGAGACCGGACUUGGAUGUUCUGUCAAGCAAGCACAUGUCGUUCCGUACGAUGAUGAUGAAUCUUUGCUCUCUACAUCAUAUACUUCCCCAAAACCAACGUUUAUAUUAAGCCCCAAAUGCACGAUUUCGACCAAAAACUUCAACCAGCUAUCUAGGAUGAGCGGAGAGAUCAAGCGAAUGAGGAAGAAGAAGAUGGAGAAGGAGACGACGAAGGAGUCGCUGCGUAGCAGUGAAGGUGAAGUCUUAAAAAUGUAUCUGUGUCGGACGAAUGCUCUUGACGAGGCCCACCAAAGAUCACCUCCUCCUUCUCCUCCCCUCCCCCCUCCUGUGCCAUGUAGAACACAUCGAGCUAUGAAGUAAGUCCACAUUGCGACCUGAUGGCACUUCUACUGAUCAGCCAUCCAAACCGCCUUCACCAAGGUGAGAGAUCGAGGAAUCCAAUCAUCCAUUCAUUCAUCGAUCCAGCCAUCCAUCCAUUCCAUCCAUCCAUCUAGCCGUCCAUUCAUCCAUCCAUCGAUCUAACAAUCAACCUUCUUAAUCGGCAUGUAUUCAAUGAUAUUAGUCGACAGUACUACUCGCAUAUGCCCUAAAAUUGUAGACCAAAAAGAUCUCACGAGUCCGCUUGUGAUUGCUGUUGUUGUUCUUGAUGCUGGCAAUGCCCGCAUUCAUCACCCUCACAUAAUUAGCCCUCAAUCUCUUUGUAGAUGUUGUAUGAGAGAUUAGUCUGAAUAGAGGCCAAGGAAAUGCUCCAAGGCUAGAGCGUCAUUUGUAUCGGGAGGAAAUCUCUUAAGUUUGGCCCUUAAACGUCUCAGUUCAUAGUUUAACGUUUCGUGGCCUCGUCUGCGUUUCACGGCUCUGGCCAGCCACUGCCUUGAAAUAAGAGCUGGCAUUCCUGAGAGUUCCUCAACUAUCAGUCUAUCAUUGAAGAGCCCUUCGGCUCCGAAUGAUUGCUAAUAAUGAAACUGAAAAG